rnacentral:rRNA from 1 species
GACGAACGCUGGCGGCGUGCUUAACACAUGCAAGUCGAACGGAAAGGCCCUGCUUUUGUGGGGUGCUCGAGUGGCGAACGGGUGAGUAACACGUGAGUAACCUGCCCUUGACUUUGGGAUAACUUCAGGAAACUGGGGCUAAUAACGGAUAGGAGCUCCUGCUGCAUGGUGGGGGUUGGAAAGUUUCGGCGGUUGGGGAUGGACUCGCGGCUUAUCAGCUUGUUGGUGGGGUAGUGGCUUACCAAGGCUUUGACGGGUAGCCGGCCUGAGAGGGUAACCGGCCACAUUGGGACUGAGAUACGGCCCAGACUCCUACGGGAGGCAGCAGUGGGGAAUAUUGCACAAUGGGCGGAAGCCUGAUGCAGCAACGCCGCGUGCGGGAUGACGGCCUUCGGGUUGUAAACCGCUUUCGCCUGUGACGAAGCGUGAGUGACGGUAAUGGGUAAAGAAGCACCGGCUAACUACGUG